UGCCAGCAGCCGCGGUAAUACGAAGGGUGCAAGCGUUAAUCGGAAUUACUGGGCGUAAAGGGAGCGUAGGCGGCCUUUUAAGUCGGAUGUGAAAUCCCCGGGCUCAACCUGGGAAUGGCAUCCGAUACUGGGGGGCUAGAGUUUGGGAGAGGGUGGUGGAAUUCCCGGUGUAGCGGUGAAAUGCGUAGAGAUCGGGAGGAACAUCAGUGGCGAAGGCGGCCACCUGGCCUAAAACUGACGCUGAAGCUCGAAAGCGUGGGGAGCAAACAGGAUUAGAUACCCUGGUAGUCCACGCCCUAAACGAUGAGAACUGGACGUUGGGAGGAAUUUGCCUCUUAGUGUCGAAGCUAACGCGUGAAGUUCUCCGCCUGGGGAGUACGCUCGCAAGAGUGAAACUUAAAGGAAUUGGCGGGGGAU
rnacentral:rRNA from 1 species